rnacentral:lncRNA from 1 species
AUAACUUCAGAUAUUUAUUUCAAUUCUCUUGAAACUAACGUUAGGAUAUUCUCCUAUGAAGUAGAGGACCACAUUUUAGAUCUCUUUUCAGCAGUUUUUACCCCUUCUAUGUCUCCUACCAAGCAAAUAUCCUACUACGUUGUCCAGGCUGUAUUCAUCUUCAUUUUUGGGAUCUGGUACAAUUACUACUUAAGCAGCUUAUACAAAAUAACAUCAAUGUAUGCUGAAUAAGAAAAAGAGAGCAUAAAAUCCCCCUGAAUAUUGAAUGCUGGGUAUUUCUAAUGACUGCCACUACACUGAAGCAAUCCAUCAGCUCUGCCUCAGCCUCUCCCACAUUCCCUGUGUGCAGGGGCUUCCCCUCUGCCUUUUCUCCAGAGAAAGGUCCUCUGAAACCCACAUCCAGGCAUUUGCACUGUCUGCAGCACUUAGGAUUCUUGGAAAGAUGGAGAUGUGAUAGGGGAGGUGAUGCCCCAGGACCCACAGGACAGUUACAUUUCCCCCUCUUUACUGAGAUUUUGGAGUGAUGAAGAAAAAUGAGAUGCCAAAAAUUGAGAUGACCACUACUGUAGUCAACAUGGGAUGGAAUGAAAGUAUGAUACUGUUUUUAGUCAUGGCUUUAAAUUCCAAGUAUUUGAAGCACGUUCUUCGCAAGUAAGACAAAUGUUUUGGUAAGCUACAUGAUUUCCCAUGCUAAUAACACUUAUUCAUGAUGGUAGAAGUACAGUG